rnacentral:tRNA from 1 species
GUGGUGGCUCAGUGGGAGAGCGCUUGCCUGGCAUGCAUGAGGCACUGGGUUCCAUCCUCAGCACCACA